UCCGUAGGCGGGUAAUUAAGUCAGAGGUGAAAUCCCACAGCUUAACUGUGGAACUGCCUUUGAUACUGGUUGUCUUGAGUUACAGUGAAGUAGAUAGAAUAUGUAGUGUAGCGGUGAAAUGCAUAGAUAUUACAUAGAAUACCGAUUGCGAAGGCAGUCUACUAACUGUAUACUGACGCUAAUGGACGAAAGCGUGGGGAGCGAACAGGAUUAGAUACCCUGGUAGUCC
rnacentral:rRNA from 1 species